CGCGAACCUGGCCUGAGACCCCGGAUACUUGAGUUUUCGGGGGUCUAACAUUUUGGGGGCUCGUCCGCGAUUUGCGACCACCCUUCACCUGAGUGGAUUCGAUCUUGGAGGUUUCUGCUUCUGGCAGACAUCUGAGUAUCAGUUGCGGACUACAGGCUGUUCUAAGUAGACUGCGAGCCCUGGACUUGCUGUGGAUGUGAACCAGUCAGCUGAUGUGGACACCCCCUGUCUCUGCAACAGUGUCUGCUAACCAGAAGCCCCUGAUGGAUUCCCCAUUGCCUAAAUUCCUUUUUGCUUUUGACUAGCAUUUCAACCUUCUGGGGUCCCUAACUUCGUCCCAAAGUCAGCAGGAAGCAGUUUGGAAAAGAAUUUCGCCGUCCAUUUUCCCUGGUUAAAAUGCUAAGUCAAAAGGAACUCCCUUGCAUGGGGAUGACAGUAUCUAUCACUCCCUGAUGGGGAUGCUAGAGAGACAGCAAUUCCAUGAUUGGAAUUUACAAAAAAGAAAAUGGGGGAAUGAAGGAACCGGCUUCCCUUUUGGCAGCCAUAACAGCCGAACAUGUGCUUGCCAUAUACCUGCCUUGGUCACUUAGAGGUCAGAUGCCUGUCUUGUGACAAGGAACCAAUCAGAAGUUAGCUGGUGGCGCUAUGCUUUACGACCCUGGGUGUGCUUUACGGACAAGCGCACAGCAAUGACAUAGAGAGCAUAGCAACCACCCUGGGAGGGCCUAUGAGCCAUAACAACCAGUUGACCAAUCAACACAGGGCAAGCCCUCCAAGCCUGGAGGCACACCAAUCGUAAGCCUGUGCGUACCCCUAGACACUCCCCUUACG
rnacentral:lncRNA from 1 species